rnacentral:rRNA from 1 species
GAUGAACGCUGGCGGCGUGCCUAAUACAUGCAAGUCGAGCGAAGCGGGGACGGGUGAGUACAACGUGGAUAACCUCCUAUAAGACUGGGAUAACUUCGGGAAACCGGAGCGAAACCCGCUACUCAUAGAUGGAUCCACGAGGCAUUAGCUAGUUGGUAAGGUAACGGCUUACCAAGGCAACGACGAAUAGCCGACCUGAGAGUGUGAUCAGCCACACUGGAACGGAGACACGGUCCAGACUCCGACGGGAGGCAGCAGUGGGGAAUAUUCCGCAAUGGGCGAAAGCCUGACGGAGCAACGCCGCGUGAAUGAUGAAGGUCUUCGGAUCGUAAAACUCUUUUAUUAGGGAGGCGGUACCUAAUCAGAAAGCAACGGCUAACUACGUGCCAGCAGCCGCGGUAAUUC